CUCCUCUGAAUAAGGACAGAGAGUCAAUUAGUUACUCAAAUUACAGAUUAAAGUAACCAAUAAUUGGGGUGCUACCUGAUGACUUUCCACGCUAAUGAAUUUCAGUUAUAAUCAGUGUUCCUAUAGAUGCACUAUAACACACACGUCUAGAUUUAUGACAGGUUUCAGCGUAGCAGCCGUGUUAGUCUGUAUCUGAUGAAGUGAGCUGUAGCUCAGGAAAGCUUAUGCUCAAAUAAAUUUGUUAGUCUCUAAGGUGCCACAAGUACUCCUUUUCUUUUUUCUAGAUUUAUGUCUGUCAUUGGUAACUCAGUGGAAAGCUUCCUUCAGAGACUUGGCAAUGCAGAGCCGUACAAUAAGCAGAGAGUAACAAUAAUAUAUAAGAAUCAUUUUAAUACUAUAAUAUUUCAUGUAGGAAGCAGCUUUGGAGCUUAGAGCAUUUUACAAACAUUAAUUAAACCUCCUUGUGAGGCAAGUCAGCAUUUCUAGAACCAUCUUACAGCUGCCAUUAACAAUUCAAUGUUUGCUACUCUAAAGUGAUUGUGAUACUGCUGUAUUUCCCAUUCCAAGGUUCGACAGAAGUUCAUGUAAGUACCGGGGCUGUGAAGUUUAUGUUUUUAAUGGGGUCCACUUGAAGCAAGGUUGGUUUUGUUUGUUUAUUUUCAAAUAAUCAAUUCCUAAUUCAAAAUGACAAAGAAUGAAUAGUGCUUUCUUUGCCCGUACAUGCCCAUCUUUAGAGAUUUGCCCUAAUUGUGGUUAACACAAGUUUAAUGAAGGCAGAUAACAAUAACUUCUUUAAAAAGACAAGCUUAUUAUUUCAAAAGAAGAAUCUCAGGGACAAGCUAUAGAAAGCCCUCCUGUGAUGAGGGAAGACAAGUGACAGAUAUUAAGUUUUUCAAAGUCACACUGGAAAAUAGCACCUUCUUAUCUGUUGGUUAUGCAUGGGGAAUCUCCUCUUUUAAUCUGUGGCUAACUUUCAGACUGGGCUCAUUCCAUAGCUCUCUUCUCUCUUAUUUGCAAUGGCUGAAAUCAAGGUAAAACAGCUGUAAUACUGAUGACAGGGCCUGAUUGUGCAACCAUUACACAAGUUGCUGAGCACUUACUCGUGAGAGAUGUUCCACUAGGACCUGAUUUUCAGUUAUACUCAAGGUUCCUUUAAGCCACAUUGGUGGAAGGUGCUUUAAAGGUGUGCACACAUUUUAAGGCAGUUUGGUAUAAAGGGGCCUUAGUGUAAAUGAGAACCAGGCCCAAUGAGAUUACUUGUGUAGUUGCUUAUCAUGUAAAGUAAGGGUUGCACAUAGUGUAUGUGUGCUUGCAUGUAUUGCAUGCCCUAAUGCAUACAGUAUGGGCCUAAUUUUCAGAAAUGCUGAGCUGUCAGUGGGAGCUCCCAUUGACUUAACUGGAUUUAUGAAUACUAAGAUCCUAUAUCUCUGUAUAGGAAAGUGCUAUCACUCAUGUCCACUGAAGCACCAACCAGCUGCCUCCCAUCUCCCUUUGACCCUCAAGAGAUGACACUGUACGGAGGAACUUUUCAAAUCAAUGCUGCUCAAGAACUUUGCACAAGCUGUUUUAACAAAAAUAGGGAUCAGACACUCGUUAUAAUAUAAUGCAAACGGGAGAAUGCAGGUUGGAAAAGAAAUCAGUGAUCAUUUGAUGGCAGUAGAGAUAAAUAAGACAUUCAUUCAAAAUCAAAAUACACCCCCCGCACCUCCCUCCCCCGAAAAAAUAAGUAAAGUCACAGCAAAGUCUUUCAAGGAAAAACAUAAUCUGUUUUGCAAAUGCCAUAACAACUUAAAAGCCAUUCAGAUUUCCCUGGACAUAACAUUCAAUUUCCAUUCUCUUCCAAGAUGCAGGCUCACAAAAACACUUUUCCUUUCAGUUUCCUGUUCAGGGACAUGCAUGUCUGAUCUGGAAAUGCAUCCAACUCCCAUCAUGCUCUCCUGUUCUCAUAUAAAAAUCAUGCAAUGCACCAAUUCCAAUUGCUGGGGAGCUCAGCCAGCCUCACCAGUAAAGCCUUGACCAUACAUGACAACAGAGAUGACAACGACAUGGGGAGUGAGAUGAAGAGAUGAUGUUUCUUAGGUUAAAAAAAAAAAGAUAUAACACGUCGUAGAAAAAGAUGAGACUGUUCUAACCAUUCCCAUACCAGUGAUUUUGUUACUGGUACGUGGACAGGGAGUAUUGCUAGUCUAUUGUCUGUUUCUCUAGCUGUACAUUUGCAUCUUGGUACCUGAUCAUUAGUGAAUUGCACUCAGAGUUUACACAGUUGUUUCCUUUUACUGUUGUAUUGUUCAAGGAGAAAUGAAUGUGCUAAAGGAAAAUAAGAGGCUGUUUAAAAACUCUGAAAAUCCCCACUCACAAUGUGUUACAAUCUUUUUUUUCCCCCUUUCAGACAUCACCACUUCCAUGGAAACACUGCCAGAUACUACCUCCUUGCAAUCUUCCUUUUGUUUGGCUCACAAUCCAAACAAAACCCAGCCACAUAUCCUGCUAUUUCCAUGUGUCUUGUAAAUAGCCGAUGCAUCGAAUCCUCUCUUUGCAUGCAGUUUGUAAAGGGAGAAUCAAUGCUAUGUCCCUUCAAAAGCUGGAUGGGGAACUGUCCAUGCUACAUAACUCAUUCCAAAGCAACAGGAGUUUUGUCCCAUGCAGAAAAUAGUUUCAGAACGAAGCCAUCUCUCAUGAAGCCUGGCAUUUCUGCAAUGGAACCACAGUACAAUAUGAACCCCAGAAUGUCAAAGCAGAAAUGAGAACAUAUGGAUAACAAAAUCCAUAGAAAAUACCUGUGGCAGCUAGAGCAUCCAGUGACUGAGAGAGCUGACCUUGAGUGCUUCCACGGAGAUUAAUCAGGUCAUUCUAAAUUGCAAAUAUACCAUGAUCCUAGGUGGAACAACUAACAAAGUGGACCAUGAUUAGGGACCCCUUAGUUAAUAACUGAAAGGAUGUACCUGUUGUAGCCACAGCUUCAAGAGGAUGGGAGCGCUGUCCUCCAAUCAUUCCAUACACCUUGAUUUUAUAGGAUGUGUUAGCCUGGAGGCCAUCAAUCACAGUGCCUAAGUAGUCUCCAGGCAUGAAGACUUCUGCAAGGGGCCCAGCUGCCACUUCCUUGUACUCCACCACAAAACUAGUGUAGGCUCCUGAGUCCGCCUUCCACGAGAGACUAAAGCCAUGCGCUGUCACAUUGGAGACCACAACAUCCCUCAGCGUAUCCUCCCCCAUCCCAGAAGCCUCUGAGCUCCAAGAUCCAGAGUACUCAUCUGGGCCAGGAGUUGUCUCCCACUUUAGAUCUAGACUAUGUGUGGCUAUAAAGAAACAAACAAGCAAAGGGUAGAAUAUGAAAUACUUAAUUCCUUCCUUUUUUUCAAAAGAACAAAAAAGUCAAUGAACUGUGCACUUCAUACUUAUUACCAUCUAAGCAGAUUUUGAAACCAGGACCUUCAGCACCAAAGGACAAACCUCUACCACAUGAGCUAAAGGAUCCAUUCCGUAACUUGGUAGCAGUAGUUGACUGUUAUCUACUAAUGGGCUGGCCACUGAAGGAGAUUGUGACACACACUCUUUGCCAGCGUGCUACACAAUUUGCAAAGAUUCUUAAUUUGUGUGUGUGCGUACGUGCAAAGGGGAUGGGUGUUGUUUAUAUUCUCAGAGGGAGAUUGAAGAAAGUAUGAGGGAGAACCAGCCAGACAUACAACACAUAAGAAAAUAAUGUCUUCAGCUCAACAGGAGCAAUGCCUAUCUUACAGUAUUUCAGUAGCAGAUAAUUGAAAGAUGCAAAUAAAAAAACCCUGCAAACCAAACCAAAGGCUCCCUGACCUCUGCAGGCCUGACUGAACAAACAGAAGUCAGGGAGGAUUAAGGAGAAAGACUAAAAUACACAACAUGGGUAAAGGAAGGGAACUUUGAAAGCAAAUACUCCCUGCCCUAAAGCAGGUUGCACUCUAUAAGCUGCAUGUGAAUCGGUUUCCCUUUUUUUUUUUUUCUCCCAGUGCGGAGGACAAAUCUCUCUUUUAAUGAAUGAGUGUUUCCAAGCUGUGCACCUGGGUUCUUCCGCUGCAUCCUUCCUAGAACACAAAGAGCUAGUUCGGUCCUACUCAUGCUCCUGGUGCCUUUCAUUUGAAUCAGAUACUCUCUGCUCCCUGCUGCUCAGAGCAAGCACUCCCCCGCCGACCCAUGGUGAAACUACGCAAAAGCCAUCUCUUGCUGUAGGCAGAGUGUAAGAGCUAACAAGAUUUGUUUUGCUUGGCCUGAGGCCUGGAGGAUCUCACACACGCUGGGACAUGGACGGAAUAAUGAAAGCAGCAAGCCCCCAGUUCACACAUACACAAGAUCUUAUUUUACAGCUCCUGAUUCUUAUGCAUUUGGGAUGCAUCCAUCCCCAGUCAAGGGACAGAUCCCAGAGACAGGUUACAUCAACUAGUGCUGCUGCAUCUCUGGUGCUUCAGGAGCUUCUCGGUUUAUUCAUGGCCCAGAGCAAAUGCUUAAAGAAUUACACUGGUUUCAUGCUUUUUUUUUAAAAUAUCCCAAGAAGGUAAAGAAUAAGGUUUGGGGGGAUUUGAUUCUGAUGCUAGACAUGACUAGCUUGUGAAACUCCACAUCAAGUUCCUUCUGAUGUAUGUUGUUUAAGCCUUUUCACCCUCUAUAUGUAUUUCUUGUGAGGGUCGGAAGAUUCUUCAAAGAGAAGGGGGAGAAACAACCCUGGAAAGAUCAAAGCUUUGCUCAUCCCUGUAGUGUAGACCUUUAGCUUUGUUCUGUGUGUCAGUGCCUGCUGUGUUUUCUCCCAGUUGGCUCCUGGCCUUAUUUAUUCAUCAUACAAUUUACUUACUGUUGAUGUUUACAGCAUAUGAAAUCUCAGCUGUCUUGAAUUAUCCAACUCUAUAUACCAUUUAUAGGUACAGCUGGCAUGAAAAAUACUAUGGAAAAUAAAGUUGGGUUGGAUUGGAUUGACUGUGUGGCAGCAGACUAAGGUGUCUACUUCAAUUUUCAGACUUCACAAUACCAGGCAAUGUUCUCUUGUCUACAACUGCUAAUUUGUAAGAUCUGGGAUUUUUUGCAUGGUUUGUACUGCACAUGGAAUUGAAGGAAAGAAGAUGAAACUCCGAGGCCCAGAUCUUCAGCUGGUGCCAACUGAUGUAACCUCACUGUUUUCAGUGUAGCUCUGCUGAUUAUACCAGCAACAACAUUCACUUUUAGUGGAAGAGACCACAAGAACUUCACAAUUUACGAGACAUCUACACUUGGACCCUAACUGGGACUCUUGAACAGUUCCAGCUUUCUUUGCUCUUUCCCCCUGGGUGGCCAAGAGAAAGGAUCAUCUCACCGGUUGCAGCAUUCAUAGUAGCGGGAGUACUUUCUCUGUCCUGCUUCACUGCUGUCACUCCAAUGCCAUAUUCAAUUCCAGGCCUCAGACCUACGGUGAAUGUGUAGAGGUGUGUCACUGUUUAGGGAUCGUGCUAGAUAAACGGUUUCUUGGUUUUGUUUUUAAUAAGAAAACUGUAGUGGCGUGGGAUCUUUCCUUUUCUAUGAAUAUUAAGAGCCAAAUUUUCAGGCAGUCUCUGGUGGGCCUCCAAUGUGGAAGAAAAAAUGGUUGCAUGCACAGUCAACUUGAUGAUUUAUUACUAUUAUCAUUGCAUUACCUGGAGACUUCAACCAAGAUCAGGAUCCCUGUGUGCUAGGCACUGUACAAACAUAUAAAUAGUGAAAAUUCCCACCUCAAAGAGAUUAUGAUUUAAAUAAAUGUAACCUGCACGAGUGUGCAGACUUCCAUGUUGAAUGUGAAAAUCCCAACUGCCUAACUUGCAGGCAAGAGGUCAACUUGCAAGCAUAAAAAGGUGUAUGCUCACUUCUGCAAGCACAUGCAAAAGUAGCAUGGAGAGCCCGAGACCUGGUGUCAGGUUUUUAAAGGUAUUUAGGUGCCUGGAAAUUCAGAGAGAUUUCAAAGUUACCCAAAAUCAACUGCCAUUGAUUUCAAAAUUGAUUUGAAAAUGCCACUAGGCGCCUAUCUGCCUCUUUAAAUACCUUUAAAAAUCUGGCCCUCAGACUGAAAAGGUGGCUCCUGACAGGAACAAAGACACAAUGUUCCCAAGUUAGUAAAAAAUGAGAGUCUCCUGGUAUGUAAAUCAUCUUCAAAGUCUUUUACAUCCUGAAUAUCUUCUCUACAACAAAAGAUUCAAAUACUCUUAUCCCAAUCUGCAUGGAUUUUGGGGUGGUUUUAAAGUCUCUUUCAUAUAUUCACAUUUCUCUUCACAUCUCUCCAACGUGACUCUUUCUAGUGCUGCAUUUUUGUAAAUUCUUUGUAAUCCAUUCAGAAGCUACAGUCUUUACACUAAGUGGGUCUCCUGUUCCUCUGUUGUGCAGAUAUAAUUCUUUAUGUCGGGGAAAGAUCCAUUCAUAGUGAAGGAAGAUCAGAUCUCUCUAGAUAGCUUACGAGACCCUAAUGAAAACAAUGCUCUUAUUGAAUAUUGAUGCAAUUAUGUUGUGAUUAUAUAAAUAUUAUGGUGGACUA